GAUGAAGAACGUAGCGAAAUGCGAAAAGUAAUGUGAAUUGCAGAAUUCAGUGAAUCAUCGAAUCUUUGAACGCACAUUGCGCCCGCUGGUACUCCGGCGGGCACGCCUGUCCGAGCGUCAUUUCAACCCUCAAGCCCUCCUUCGGGAUGGGCCUGGUGUUGGGGCUCGGCCGCCAUCUCCGGCGGCCGUCCCCUAAAUACAGUGGCGGUCACGUCGCGACUCCUUUGCGUAGUAGAAACACCUCGCUCCGGAUAGCAACGCGGUCCACGCCGUAAAACCCCCAAUUUUCAAUGGUUGACCUCGGAUCAGGUGGGAAUACCCGCUGAACUUAAGCAGAUCAAUAAGCGGAGGA
rnacentral:misc_RNA from 1 species